GGGGGGGGGGGGGGGGGGGGCGGGGGCGGGGGGGGCGGGCGGCGGGGGGGGAAGCGGGCUGCGCGGGGGGGAGCGGCGGACGGGGGGGUCCCCCGUGGAGCACCUCCCUAUCCGCCUGGGAUCCCUGCGGCAACCCGUAGGUAGUACCGGAGCAUCUUUUGCACCGCAUGGUUCAGACGUGUACGAAGGUCCUGCUGUCCCCUCUCGAUCUGUCCGCGCUUCAUUAGCUAGCUGUUAAGGUAACGGCUUACCAAUGCCACGAUUCAUCGCCGACCUGAGAGGGUGAUCGGCCAAACUGGAACUGAGACCCGGUCAAGACUCCUACGAGAGGCAGCAGUAGGGAAUCUUCCGCAAUGGGCGAAAGCCUGACGGAGCAACGCCGCGUGAGUGAUGAAGGUCGUCGGAUCGUAAAACUCUGUUAUUAGGGAAGAACAUAUGUGUAAGUAACUGUGCACAUCUUGACGGUACCUAAUCAGAAAGCCACGGCUAACUACGUG
rnacentral:rRNA from 1 species